GGGCGGUUAACUCAGCGGCAAGAGUGCCACCCUUACAAGGUGGAAGUCGCAGGUUCAAAUCCUGCACCGCCCA
rnacentral:tRNA from 1 species